rnacentral:rRNA from 1 species
CAGUAGCCGCGGUAAUACGAAGGGGGCUAGCGUUGCUCGGAAUGACUGGGCGUAAAGGGCGCGUAGGCGGUUUUGACAGUCAGAUGUGAAAUUCCUGGGCUUAACCUGGGGGCUGCAUUUGAGACGUCAAGACUAGAGUGUGAGAGAGGGUUGUGGAAUUCCGAGUGUAGAGGUGAAAUUCGUAGAUAUUCGGAAGAACACCAGUGGCGAAGGCGGCUUACUGGCUCAUACAGGACGCUGAGGUGCGAAAGCGUGGGGAGCAAACAGGAUUAGAUACCCCUGUAGUCCCUGUCUCUUAUAC